CAGCAGGAUUUAGACUACAACAUGGCUGUCAGUGCUGUGUUGUCGUUCCCCCUGCUGAAAACAAAGUGUUUCUUUACUAUACCUGUCUGCUUUAUCCUGUGGCAGCCAGGGACGCUUGGUCUCAUACAU
ensembl:snoRNA SNORA63 Small nucleolar RNA SNORA63